CCUACGGGUGGCAGCAGUGAGGAAUAUUGGUCAAUGGGCGGAAGCCUGAACCAGCCAUGCCGCGUGAAGGAAUAAGGCCCUACGGGUCGUAAACUUCUUUUGACGCGGAGCAAUAAGGUCCACGCGUGGACCGAUGAGAGUACGCGUAGAAUAAGCAUCGGCUAACUCCGUGCCAGCAGCCGCGGUAAUACGGAGGAUGCGAGCGUUAUCCGGAUUCAUUGGGUUUAAAGGGUGCGUAGGCGGCCGAGUAAGUCAGCGGUGAAAGACCGGGGCUCAACCCUGGAAGUGCCGUUGAUACUGUUUGGCUGGAAUGAUCCCGCCGCGGGAGGAAUGAGUGGUGUAGCGGUGAAAUGCAUAGAUAUCACUCAGAACACCGAUUGCGAAGGCAUCUCGCGAGGGGUCAAUUGACGCUGAGGCACGAAAGCGUGGGGAUCGAACAGGAUUAGAUACCCCUGUAGUC
rnacentral:rRNA from 1 species